rnacentral:ncRNA from 1 species
ACCAAGGAGUCUAACAUGUGCGCGAGCCGCGGGGCAGUACGAAACCCGUAAGGCGAAAUGAAGGUGAACGCCGGCGCGGUCCGGCGGAGGUUGGAUCCCGUCCCGUCGGGGCGGGCGCACUACCGGCCGAUCUUCUCCGCCCUGUCGGCGAGGUCGAGCGAGAGCGUGCAAGUCGGGACCCGAAAGAUGGUGAACUAUGCCUGAGGAGGUUGAA